UGAAGCAAUAAAACUCGUGACCAACAACCGCCCCUUAAUUAUUCAAGUAUGUAUUCAGUCACAAUAUUGAAUAGACAACGAAAUGAAACAAAAAAGAAGUGAAAAUUUUUGUUGCACACAAUCGUUUAUUAAUACAAUUUGAAAAUAAUUUUAUUCUGCAAAGUAUCUGUAAGGCCCAAAUUUUGCCAGGGGCCCAAAAACCAAAUAAAACAAUUACAAAACCCAUUACCCAGUUGCAAGCCCAAUAAGCCCAAUAAACAUAAAAACUUAGCCCACAAAAUAUUUUUUGCUAAACAAGUAAAAAACCCUAGCCCCAAGCAUGUGGCCGCGGAACCAUCGGCCUCCCCACGCGUGCUCGGCCACCACGCCUCUGUCAUCUCCACUCCGCACGCCUCUAAGGGUCAUCUGACACCUGCAAAAUGAAGCAGACACCAAGACAGAAGCAGACAAACGAAAAUGACAAAAAUAAAUAAGAUUUUCCUACUAUUGUAACCGGCUAUAAAGCCGAGAAGAAACGAAUGUAUUAAGGGGGUUUUUUUUUCCAAAUUUAAAAAAAGCGGUUUUUUCGAAUUCAAAAAGGGGGGAACUGAUUGUGAAUGGGGGGAUUCUUGAAUAUUCAAAAAAUCAAUACAAAAAAGGUCCCAUAGAAAUCAAAAUACAAAAAAUAGUAAAAAGGUUGUUCCUUUUUCUUGAUUAUUUUGCUUUCAUGCUUGUUUUGUUAGGAAAAAAGAAAAUAAAAAGAAAAGAGAAGAAAAAAAACAUUACCUUUCUUAAGAUUGGAGGAGGAAACCGAGGGUUUAUUGUCUGUUGUUUUAUUUUUUAAGAGUUUUGGGUUUUAAAACGAGGUAGGGAGAGCCAAAUCGGCCGAAAAAAGGGUGACUUCGGAACGUCAGCCACCGUAUACGGUGGCGGUCUGACGACGGCGGUGAAAUGGGUUCCUUUUGAAACCCUAGCAGAUCUAAAAAUGAAGAAAUGGUGGGGGGAACAGCUGCUGUUCGUUUCUGGAAAAGAAAGAAAAUGAAAGAUUCCUUUUUUUAAAAAAAAAUUGACCCUUUUAUACAUUAACUAAAACAACGGCGUUUGGGUAAGAGGAAAGGGUCCAUGCGCCUAAAAUGGAUAAUUUUUGUAGCUAGUCCCUUGGACUUUUCUGGGUUUUCAUUCUAAUCCCAUUUUCCUUUUUAUUUUUCUUCAAAUUUUCCUCUUUAAUUUUAUUUCAUUUUUAAUUUAACCCAGGGCCUUGUUAGUCAAAACGCAACGCAAAAAGACUAGGGAUAUUAUCCCGUUUAGUCCCUGCUAGUUUCAGCGCACCACAAUUUGG
rnacentral:lncRNA from 1 species